UAGGUGGGAGGCUUUGAAGUGUGGACGCCAGUCUGCAUGGAGCCGACCUUGAAAUACCACCCUUUAAUGUUUGAUGUUCUAACGUUGACCCGUAAUCCGGGUUGCGGACAGUGUCUGGUGGGUAGUUUGACUGGGGCGGUCUCCUCCUAAAGAGUAACGGAGGAGCACGAAGGUUGGCUAAUCCUGGUCGGACAUCAGGAGGUUAGUGCAAUGGCAUAAGCCAGCUUGACUGCGAGCGUGACGGCGCGAGCAGGUGCGAAAGCAGGUCAUAGUGAUCCGGUGGUUCUGAAUGGAAGGGCCAUCGCUCAACGGAUAAAAGGUACUCCGGGGAUAACAGGCUGAUACCGCCCAAGAGUUCAUAUCGACGGCGGUGUUUGGCACCUCGAUGUCGGCUCAUCACAUCCUGGGGCUGAAGUAGGUCCCAAGGGUAUGGCUGUUCGCCAUUUAAAGUGGUACGCGAGCUGGGUUUAGAACGUCGUGAGACAGUUCGGUCCCUAUCUGCCGUGGGCGCUGGAGAACUGAGGGGGGCUGCUCCUAGUACGAGAGGACCGGAGUGGACGCAUCACUGGUGUUCGGGUUGUCAUGCCAAUGGCACUGCCCGGUAGCUAAAUGCGGAAGAGAUAAGUGCUGAAAGCAUCUAAGCACGAAACUUGCCCCGAGAUGAGUUCUCCCUGACUCCUUGAGAGUCCUGAAGGAACGUUGAAGACGACGACGUUGAUAGGCCGGGUGUGUAAGCGCAGCGAUGCGUUGAGCUAACCGGUACUAAUGAACCGUGAGG
rnacentral:rRNA from 1 species